rnacentral:rRNA from 1 species
CAGCAGCCGCGGUAAUACCGGCGGCCCGAGUGGCGGUCACUAUUAUUGGGCUUAAAGCGUCCGGAGCCGGGUUGGGAAGGCCUCCGGGAAAUCUGGCCGCUUAACGGUCAGAAUGCCGGAGGAUACUCCCAGCCUAGGGAGCGGGAGAGGCCGAGGGUAUUCCCGGAGGCGGGGGGAAAUCCUAUAAUCCCGGGAGGACCACCUGUGGCGAAGGCGCUCGGCUGGAACGCGUCCGACGGUGAGGGACGAAGGCCAGGGGAGCAAACCGGAUUAGAUACCCGGGUAGUCCUGGCGGUAAACGAUGCGGACUUUGUGUCGGACAAGCUAUGAGCUUGUCCGGUGCCGGAGGGAAACCGUUAAGUCCGCCGCCUGGGGAGUACGGCCGCAAGGCUGAAACUUAAAGGAAUUGGCGGG